GGCGGCGUGCUUAACACAUAGCAAGUCGAAACGGCGAAAGGGACUUCGGUCCUGAGUAAAGUGGCGGCACGGGUGAGUAACGCGUAGAUAACCUGUCUUCAUGUCUGGAAUAAUACGCCGAAAGGGGUACUAAUACCGGAUAUUCUUGCUUUUCAUAAGUUAUGCAAGCAAAGGUGGCCUCUGCAUAUGCUACUGCAUGAAGAGGGGUCUGCGUACCAUUAGCUAGUAGGUGGGGUAAUGGCCUACCUAGGCGACGAUGGUUAGCGGGUCUGAGAGGAUGAUCCGCCACACUGGCACUGGAACACGGGCCAGACUCCUACGGGAGGCAGCAGUGAGGAAUAUUGCGCAAUGGGGGAAACCCUGACGCAGCGACGCCGCGUGAAGUGAGGAAGGCCUUCGGGUCGUAAAGCUCUGUCAAGAGGAAAGAAGUGUACAAUGGCUAAUACCUGUUGUAUUUGACGGUACCUCUAAAGGAAGCACCGGCUAACUCCGUGCCAGCCGCCGC
rnacentral:rRNA from 1 species